rnacentral:rRNA from 1 species
CGCGUAGGCGGGUCUGUUAGUCAGAGGUGAAAUCCUGCGGCUCAACCGUAGAACUGCCUUUGAUACUGCAGAUCUUGAGUAUGGAAGAGAGUGACGGAAUUCCAGGUGUAGUGGUGAAAUACGUAGAUAUCUGGAAGAACACCAGUGGCGAAGGCGGUCAUUUGGUCCAUUACUGACGCUGAGGCCCGAAAGCGUGGGGAGCAAACA